AGCUGCCCCCCUGACCAUUUCAAUCGGGGCUGCGUUCCUGCAACAAAAAACCGCAACGUGAAAAACUGCCCAUCCAACCAUCAAGUUUACAAUUUAGUUACGUCCGGUGCGCAAAUAGCCGAGCCGAAUUAAGCGCUCUAUCCGGGCUUGCAUUAGCGUGAGCACUUUUAUCGAUUAGCACGACGAUGGUUUAUCAAUAUUGCCAUUAAAAUUCCUCGUGCAUGGUGCCCUUGUCAACUCGCCUGACCGAACAAACUCCGACUUGGUCGUAUGCAGGAUUAGGAAUGUCGAGGGUGAGGGUUAUUGCAUUCGGCAGAGGGGUGAUGUGGAACCACUGGACGUGCAAUAUCGAUGCACGCACCCCUUGAUAGGUUAAUGUUCCAGACAUCAACAGGAGUUUACGACUUCAGGACGCACGAGGGACGCAUUAGUUUUAGCGGAAUUAGACGAAAAUGACAAUUUAGAAAAAAUAUAUUUCGAAUAAAGAAAGCCAUUGGCGAAAGGGUCAACAACAUAACUUCUUCGAUUUGAGAAAAACGGACAUUUAUUGAAACAACUUUUGUUUUUAUUGUCUUCUUGCAAGAAAUUUCAUCAUGAAAGGAGCUCAAGGGGAGUGGUCAUGACGUCGUACUAAGUAAAUUGUGCCUUACGUUACAUGUUCGAUAAAUCUAUAUUUAAGAUACGCCCCACAAUACAAGUUUUCUCACUUUGCUUACAAGAGCAAGAUAGUAUAGUCCAGUGAAAUAAAGCUUCAAAUCAAAAUUUGGAGCAUAUACUUGAAUUUUUGAAAUACACAUACUAGAAAAGUAUAGGGAUAUUAGUAAAUUUUCUGAAUAAUGAUGUAAUAAAUGCGAUUUUUGGCAUUUUUUUGAAACAAAUUGUUAU